rnacentral:rRNA from 1 species
AUUGAACGCUGGCGUCAUGCUUUACACAUGCAAGUCGAACGGCAGCGCGGGCUUCGGCCUGGCGGCGAGUGGCGAACGGGUGAGUAAUGCAUCGGAACGUGCCCAGUAGUGGGGGAUAGCCCGGCGAAAGCCGGAUUAAUACCGCAUACGACCUGAGGGUGAAAGCGGGGGACCGAAAGGCCUCGCGCUAUUGGAGCGGCCGAUGUCGGAUUAGCUAGUUGGUGGGGUAAAGGCUUACCAAGGCGACGAUCCGUAGCUGGUCUGAGAGGACGACCAGCCACACUGGGACUGAGACACGGCCCAGACUCCUACGGGAGGCAGCAGUGGGGAAUUUUGGACAAUGGGGGCAACCCUGAUCCAGCCAUGCCGCGUGCGGGAAGAAGGCCUUCGGGUUGUAAACCGCUUUUGUUCGGGAAGAAAUCCUCUGGGCUAAUACCCCGGGGGGAUGACGGUACCGGAAGAAUAAGCACCGGCUAACUACGUG